rnacentral:ncRNA from 1 species
UAACUUGUUUUAUUUUUGUUAUUUGUCUUAUUUAAUGUUUAUUUUACAUGUAAAUUUUUGUGAGAAUUUUAAUUUAUCUAAAAGAUUUUUUAUUUUUUAAUCAUUCGCAGUAAUUAAUAUUAUAAAUAAAAGAAAUUUUGAUUUAGUAAUAUUUUUUAGUAUUGGUAAAUUUUGUGCCAGCAACCGCGGUUAUACAAAUAAUGCAAAUAAGACUUAUUAGUAAUAGUUAAUUUGUUUAAAAAUAAAAUUAAUUUAAAUUUUUUAAGUGAAAUUUUAAAUUUAAUUAAUUUUAUAAGGUAUUUUAAUGAAGCUAGGAAAUUUUAAUAAUAAACUAGGAUUAGAUACCCUAUUAUUUAAAAAGUAAAUUUUUAUACUUGAGUAGUAAUAGAUAUGAUCUUCAAACUUAAAGAAUUUGGCGGUGUUUUAGUCUAUUUAGAGGAACCUGUCCUGUAAUCGAUAAUCCACGUUGGACCUUACUAAAGUUUGUUUUCAAUUUGUAUAUCGCCGUUAUCAGAAUAUCUUAAAAGAGGAAUAAUUUUCUUAAUUUAUUAUUAUAAUUGAUGUCAGGUCAAGGUGCAGUUUAUAUUUUAGUAGAGAUGGGUUACAAUAAAUUUAUUUAUACGUUAAAUUGUUUGAAAUAAUGAUUUUAAGGUGGAUUUAAAAGUAAAAUAAUGAAUAUAACUUAUUUGAUUAUAGCUCUAAAACAUGCACACAUCGCCCGUCGCUCUCAUUAUUAAAAUGAGAUAAGUCGUAACAUAGUAGAAGUAUCGGAAGAUGCUUCUAGAAUGA